AACGAACGCUGGCGGCAGGCCUAACACAUGCAAGUCGAACGCUGUAGCAAUACAGAGUGGCAGACGGGUGAGUAACGCGUGGGAACCUUCCCAGUGGUGCGGAAUAGCUCAGGGAAACUUGAGGUAAUACCGCAUAAGCCCUUAGGGGGAAAGAUUUAUCGCCAUUGGAUGGGCCCGCGUCGGAUUAGCUAGUUGGUGAGGUAAUGGCUCACCAAGGCAACGAUCCGAGCUGGUUUGAGAGAAUGACCAGCCACACUGGGACUGAGACACGGCCCAGACUCCUACGGGAGGCAGCAGUGGGGAAUCUUGGACAAUGGGCGCAAGCCUGACCCAGCCAUGCCGCGUGAGUGACGAAGGCCUUAGGGUUGUAAAGCUC
rnacentral:rRNA from 1 species